AUUGAACGCUGGCGGCAGGCCUAACACAUGCAAGUCGAGCGGGGCGGGGGACGGGCGAGUAAGGACUGGGAGGCAGCCUGGUCGUGGGGGAGAACGCCCGGAAACGGGCGCUAGCACCGAAUACUAUCAGUUGAGCGUGGGUUGGAUGAGCUAGUUGGUGGGGUAAAGGCCUACCAAGGCGACGAUCCUUAACUGGUCUGAGAGGAUGAUCAGUCACACUGGAACUUAGACACGGUCCAGACUCCUACGGGAGGCAGCAGUGGGGAAUAUUGGACAAUGGGCGAAAGCCUGAUCCAGCCAUGCCGCGUGUGUGAAGAAGGUCUUCGGAUUGUAAAGCACUUUAAGUUGGGAGGCGUUACCAACAGAAUAAGCACCGGCUAACUUCGUGCCAGCAGCCGCGGUAAUUC
rnacentral:rRNA from 1 species